ensembl:lincRNA
GAGCACAUGGACCCACUGGUCAAGCGGGCUCGGCAAGGCCAGGAUGAAGAGAAGCUACGAACUUAGCAUUCCCAGAGCCCCCCGAGUGGAUAUCCGCGUGGAAAGGAUGUUGGCAGCCCCGGUGACCUCGGAGUCACGGCUGGAUCCACCCUCUUGUCUGAUUUUCUUAACUCUACUACGGUAAGAAGAUGCCCUCCAUCAGCAGGCCGUGUCUGCUGGGACCUCUCUGGAGACUUCCUGAACCCUGUGGAUUUACAGUAAGAUGCAGUUUCCUGGGGAGUAAUUCUGGUGGAUACAAAUUCCGGAGUAUUACACCUGGCUUGCCUGGAGAUGUUACAAGUAGCUGGAUGGAUUCUUCAGCCUGGAUGCCCACUGAAAACAAGGACCGAAACUAAGAGGAUUGUAUCUCUACCCUUGACUCAAUGAGAAUGUUUGUUGUCAUCUCUCGGGCUACCUGGAGCUCCCUCUAAAAUAGAGCCGAGUUCUGUCACCACAGACAUUGGCAGUGGCACUUGCAUGCCCCUGGCAAGCAGUCUAUCCUGAGGUGGAGGAAGUUGCCCUUGAGUUCUGGCUGGUAACCAGCACAGGGGCUGGGACACUGCCUGAUUGAGGUGGCCAUUGAGAAUUCAAGUGUACCUCUUGGUCCCUGAUGCAGAAAUGAAGUCCCCAGCAUGCUCAAGAAGAGCUUCCUUGGAGGAUGAGAGGCAUGGGAAUCUAAGUAUACCCUUUAAGCGUUCCAGAAGGAUUUUGAGAUCCUUUCCUAAAUCAAAGGUGGAAUAUUUGGGGAUUUGGAAAAUUGAGAUGUGAAGCGUUGACUUAAGAGAUGCCAAGUAACUCAGCAGAUGUCACACAGACGAUAAAUAGCAAAGAUGGAAGUCUUCAUGCCGGAGGCAAUCCUAUAAGACAGCUGAGUUCUGCAGAGCUGGUAGGAGACAGACUUGCUCAGGUGAUAGAUCCAGCCAUGAUACUGACCCUAAGAGAAUGAGACGCUCUGCAGAAGACAGAAGAUUCCUGAAACUGGGAAAGGUGCCUAGAAAUCCUGAUAAGAGUGAAGAAGGAGCUGGCAGAGCAGCCUUCCUCCGCACUAUGAAAGACAUCCAACAGAGAGCAAGUUCCCACCUCACUUCCAGCUUGACUCCUUUUUAUCUCCUAACUGUGGUCUGUGAUGUCUUCAGCAAUGGUAUUAACUAGUUCUGGGUACCUGGAGGCACAGCAGCCAUGUUGAACCUAUGAGGUGAUGAAAAACCAUGCAACUAGAAACCAGAAUGGAAGAAAAGAAGAAGCUGGAUCCUUGACUGAAUUGUCGAUGGGGGAUAGUCCAUCAUCCCAGGGCUAAGACCACCUCCAGAUUUCUUGUUUGGUGAAACAAGUCCUGAUUGUUUACAUUCCCUCGUGUUGAGCUGUCUCUUGCUUGUAGCUGAAAGCAUUUCUAAUAGAUAUUCAGAUUAUCAGCCUUAGCUCCAAGCUAGAAUACUCUAUGGGACCUUAGCUUCUCCAUGAAUUCCUUUGCUCAUCUGUGUAAUGCUCAAUAAAUGUAAAUUGAACCCUGAAUGAGGGACAAUG